rnacentral:rRNA from 1 species
UACGUAGGGUGCAAGCGUUAAUCGGAAUUACUGGGCGUAAAGCGUGCGCAGGCGGUUGUGCAAGACAGAGGUGAAAUCCCCGGCUUAACCUGGGAAUGGCCUUUGUGACUGCACGGCUAGAGUGUGUCAGAGGGGGGUAGAAUUCCACGUGUAGCAGUGAAAUGCGUAGAGAUGUGGAGGAAUACCGAUGGCGAAGGCAGCCCCCUGGGAUAACACUGACGCUCAGGCACGAAAGCGUGGGGAGCAAACAGG